AGUAGAAAGACAAAAGAAGACUUAGUUCAAAGACUUAAGUCAUUAUUCUCAAGGAGAGUACCAAAGGAAGAAGGAGACUUUUAAUUUCUUCAGUUUUCUUCGUGCCUUCCUUGCUAGUCAUUGUUCCCUUUUAUUGAAGGUUAAGAGAAUAUUCCCAUCUGCAAGACGUAGAAGGCAUCCGGGGGGAUGCAGAAAUCCCCAUCUGUCCAACAACUCAUAUCGAAUGGGGAGAAUUUUGAGGACUUUGCAGUGGAACAUUUCCUAACCAGAGCUCGUGAUAUUCUGAGGGCAUGCAAUGCAUACAUGGAAGUUCCUCACGUGGAGGUAUGGAUGCGCUUGUUGAAGAGUUUGCAAAAAUUGGAGUUUGGAGCUAAGGACUGAAAAUUUUGCUUGAUUCAAAAGAAUGUAAUCUAUGAAAACCUAAAUUUAAGACUUGAUCCAGAAGUCUUCUUACAUCCGGUGUUUUACAAAUUGGUUCGAAUUGGCUUAUUGGAUCGGAUACUGGACCAGUAACCGGUUUAUAAUACACAUUUAAAAAAGUUAUUUAUUGUAAAUACUUUUUUAAGAUGACUAGAGCGAUUUAAUAUUAGUUGAA